GAUGAACGCUGGCGGCGUGCCUAAUACAUGCCAGUCGAGCGAACAGACGAGGAGCUUGCUCCUCUGACGUUAGCGGCGGACGGGUGAGUAACACGUGGAUAACCUACCUAUAAGACUGGGAUAACUUCGGGAAACCGGAGCUAAUACCGGAUAAUAUAUUGAACCGCAUGGUUCAAUAGUGAAAGACGGUCUUGCUGUCACUUAUAGAUGGAUCCGCGCCGCAUUAGCUAGUUGGUAAGGUAACGGCUUACCAAGGCAACGAUGCGUAGCCGACCUGAGAGGGUGAUCGGCCACACUGGAACUGAGACACGGUCCAGACUCCUACGGGAGGCAGCAGUAGGGAAUCUUCCGCAAUGGGCGAAAGCCUGACGGAGCAACGCCGCGUGAGUGAUGAAGGUCUUCGGAUCGUAAAACUCUGUUAUUAGGGAAGAACAAAUGUGUAAGUAACUAUGCACGUCUUGACGGUACCUAAUCAGAAAGCCACGGCUAACUACGUG
rnacentral:rRNA from 1 species